rnacentral:lncRNA from 1 species
GUAUUGAUUAGCUUGGGUGAACACAAUAUUUGUAAAUGAAAUAGACUGGUUUCCUUUCUUAGCCAUGAGGCCAUUGGAAUGGACUGCAGAGUGAAUUAGGAGGUUCUACUGUUUCACUAUGGAGAUGAUUCUGGAAUCAAGAAGUUUCAAUAGUGGUUAGAAUGAAACUAAUAACCUUUUCAGAAUCUAUUGCUUCUGGUUAGUGCUUUUUCAAGUAUUGUACUACAUAAUAAGUGUUUCCUUUGGAGUAAUGGAGAGAGACAUUCAAGUACAAAUAUCCAAUAUAUGUUUGGAGAUAAAAGAAUCAUCUGGAAAUGUAGAGAAGUUGGAGAUGCCGAG